rnacentral:misc_RNA from 1 species
UUUCCGUAGGUGAACCUGCGGAGGGAUCAUUAUUGUAUAACCGAAGUUCGAGGACUGUCGCGGACCCGACAGCUGGUGCACGGCCGAGUGCGCUCACACACAUUCAUCUCACCCCUAGGUGCACCACCGCGUGGGUGCCCCUUUGGCUUUGUCGGUGGGGGGCGUACGUUUUGAGCAAAACUUUGUAUGCAGUGUAGAAUUUAUUUUUUGGUUUUGCGGUCUCUCAAUCAAUAGAACUUUGAACAAGGGAUGUCUUGGCACUCGCAUAUAUGAAGAAAC